ACUUUGGGAGGCAGAGGUGGGUGGAUCACGAGGUCAGGAGUUCAAGACCAGCCUGGCCGAGAUGAUGAAACCCCAUGUCUACUAAAAAUACGAAAAUUAGCCGGGAGUAGUGGUGGUGCUCCUGUAAUCCCAGCUACUCGGGAGGCUGAGGCAGGAGAGUCACUUGAUCCCGGGGGGCAGAGGUCGUAGUGAGCCGAGAUCGUACCAUUGCACUCCAGCCUGGGCGGCAGAGUGAGACUCCGUCUCAAAAAAAAAAGAAAAGCAGACUGCCUAAGAGGAUGGACAGAUGGACACUGGGUGAGCAGAGUGGCCUGGCCGCUGGCACACCUCCCUGGGCAGGACCAGGCAGCCUCCAGAGGGGCUUCAGGAGUGACCGGGCCUGGCCUCCCCACCACGGGCUAGGGUGGACAUUUGGGGCCUUCUGGGGCCAAAGUGCAGACUGCUGGGGAUGCAGGUGGCUUGGAUGUUCUCUGACUUUGUUGCUGGGAUCUCCGCUAAAGAGUGUCUGCGCUGUGGCUUCUUUGCAGGAGAAGUUUUCAGGUUGCUGGAGGAAGAGGGCGUCUCCCUCCCCGACCUGGAACCAGCCCCUCUGGACAGCCUGUACGUAUGUCUGCCACCAAGAACUGUUAUUUUAGCUUCUAACGCUGCCUCUGAGGAUAGCAUCCCCCUGCUCUGGGCUUGCCUCCCCGCAGCCCAUCUUGGCGUCCACAGAAGUGGCUGGAUAGCCAGGCGCAGUAGCUCACGCCUGUCACCCCAGCACUUUGGGAGGCCAAGGUGGGCAGAUCACCUGAGGUCAGGAGUUCGAGACCAGCUCGGCCAACAUGGUGAAACCUCAUCUCUACUAAAAAUACAAAAUUUAGCCAGACAUGGUGGUAAUCCAUGCCAGGCCCUGUAAUCCCAGCUACUUGGGAGGUUGAGGCAUGAGAAUUGCUUGAACCCAGGAGGCGGAGCUUGCAGUGAGCCAAGAUCACGCCACUGCACUCCAGCCUGGGCGACAGAGCAAGACUCCGUCUCAAAAAAAAAAACAAGAAGUGGCUGGGCCCCUGUGAUGGCUGGUGACACAGGAGCUGUUCCUCUGUGUCUGUGACUUGUCUCCCACCUGGAAAUGCAAACGCUCAUGUGUGAGGGACAGAGGCCCUGCUCGGGAGGUUGGCAGGCAGCAGCCCCAGCUGUGCUGAGGCCCCUCCCUCCUUGCCAGGUGCAGCGGUGCCUCUGCAGAGGAGCCCACCAGCCAUCGGGGAGGGGGCUCGGGGGGCUACCUGGAGCACGUGUUCCGGCACGCGGCCCGAGAGCUCUUUGGAAUCCAUGUGGCUGAGGUUACCUACAAACCCCUGAGGUCAGUGGGAUGGGCCAGAUCUCUGGGCAGAGCGGCCACACAGCCCCCAGCCUUCCUCGGGCUGCUGCCUCCCCUGGGGUCCUCCCACAGAGGUGGGCUGGGUGGAGGGCAGCCUGCAGGGUUUGGAGGGGACCCUGGGGCCAGGCAGGGCCCUCCUGGCGGGCUCAGGGUGUGAAGGCACCUAAGCACUCCAGGCCUCAGUCGGCCCAUUGUGGGGGAUGGUGACCCUGAGCCCGAGAGGCCAGCAUGGGCAAAGGUGAUGGGUGCCUGGCGCAGGCACGCGACCACAUCCCAGGAGGGAGGGCCAGGGCCUCACAGACAUCCCUGGGGAGGGAGGCCUGUUUCACAGACAGCCCGAGGCUGGAGGUGAGGUCCCCUGCUGGACUCAAGGAAGUGAGCCUUCCACCCUCUCUCUCCGUUCUUGUCCUUCCCUCUGCCCAGGAGAGAGGGAGAGAGCCCUGGGAGGUACCCGGUCAUCCCCUGAAGCCCAGCAGGCCUCCCCUUCCAGGCAGGCAGGAGCCUGGUGGGUGUGCCAUGUAGACAAACCCCGCCUGUGCCCCCCAGGAACAAAGACUUCCAGGAGGUGACACUGGAGAAGGAGGGCCAGGUGCUGCUGCACUUCGCAAUGGCGUACGGCUUCCGCAACAUCCAGAACCUGGUGCAGAGGCUCAAACGAGGGCGCUGCCCCUACCACUACGUGGAGGUCAUGGCCUGCCCCUCAGGCUGCCUGAACGGCGGGGGCCAGCUCCAGGCCCCAGACAGGCCCAGCAGAGAGCUCCUCCAGCACGUGGAGAGACUGUACGGCAUGGUCCGGGCUGAGGCGCCCGAGGACGCGCCUGGGGUUCAGGAGCUGUACACACACUGGCUGCAGGGCACGGACUCGGAGUGUGCAGGUCGCUUGCUGCAUACGCAGUACCACGCCGUGGAGAAGGCCAGCACUGGCCUGGGCAUCCGGUGGUAGGGGCUGCAGGACCAGGACUCCCAGGAGGCCGUGUCCAUGUGUGACAGCAGAACCACAUGCCCCAAGACCCCAGGGCUUCCCCCAAAAUUCUGAGUGAGCUGCAGGGUGUGCUGGGACCCGAGUAGGAGCUAGGACUAGCCAGGACCCGCAGCCGCCUCGUCACCUCCAGUUGGGUGCCUCUGGGUUCCCACUGGCUCUGCCCAGGUGGGGUGGGGUGGCCCAGGCAGCAGAAGGUUCCCUGAGGUCCCAGAGCCUGUUCCGUUGGCCCUGGGCCGAGGCCCACAGGUGCUGCCCUUGCUGCUGCUGGUCGGGCACCCAAGUGCGUGAGGGGCUUCAGCCUGUCCCGGGGUUGCCUGAGGCAGAGCAAGACGGGUUCUCACCCCUGACUUCUGGAGGCUUCCCUUGAAGCUCUGUGCAAAAGGUGGGAGACAGAGCUGGACCUGCAGGGGUGGUCCCGCCACAACCCUGCGUGUGGACCCUGGCAGGGGGGGGUGCCAGGCCCCUGGAAAGCAGGGGUUACCGUUACGAGGCUGUGGUCCGGGGCAAGCCAAGUACGAAGCAGCAGCCAUCGCGGGCUGCAUCAUCCCCCAGCCAGGUCCCCACCAGGCCUGUCUCCCAGCGUUUGUCUAAUAAACGCACCCCUCCU
rnacentral:lncRNA from 1 species